rnacentral:sRNA from 1 species
ACUUUGUAUCUCAAAAUUAUAUUGAAAGGAAAGAGUACUAUGUGAACAAUGUGCUAGGAAGCGAUUUUAGUUUUGGACUGAAAAUCUAAAAUCAAGGAGUUAGAAAAAAUUUAAUAGUUUUGCUGACAAUUACAAAAUGAGAGUUCCCGUAUUUUUGUACAGUUUUGUGGUAUUUCUGGGUGUUUGUUGCGUUGAUGAAGUGAUUUCAACUGACAAAGAUAUAGAGAGCUCCUCGCAGGAAAUAGACCAUCAAAGGGAUUUCGCAACACUUAACAAACGCCGAUACGGAGAUGACGACUUUCAAAAAAGAUUGCGAUAUUUUAUAGGCAAACGUUCUGAUACAGGAGACAAGGAAAAACGCAUGCGAUAUUUACUUGGAAAACGUUUCGCAUUUGAUGGUAACGUUAACAAACGACUACGCUAUUUUCUCGGAAAACGUGAUUUUUCAGAUACUAAAAAAAGAACAAGAUAUUUCAUUGAAAAACGAUCUGAUGAACUUGGCAGUCAUGAUUUAGAACAAAAUAUGAGACACAUUCUUGAAAAACAGGAAUCUGAUAAAGUUAAUCCUGGAUUGGAGAAAAGAAUGCGCUAUUUUCUUGGCAAGAGAAUGAGAUACUUCCUUGGGAAACGGGCAAACAGCGCAACAUCAAAUUCGGACUCGCAAAACGAAUCUUCAAAAAGAACGAGAUAUUUUCUAGGAAAAAGAGACGGAACAAGAUACUUCUUGGGAAAAAGAUUCCGCUAUUUCCUUGGAUGACAGAACAUUGUAAGUUACAUGAAUCAGCAAUUCCAAAUACUCUUGUUGUUUUGAAACAUUUCUGCUCAAAAACAUUUUAAAAUUCAUUUAUAUUAUGAUUUUUUUGAAAAAAACAUUGAUAAAAUGAUUUAUUUGAGAAAUAUUGUUAAUUGUAUUGAAAUUUCAAGAUUCCCUUUGGGUUUUUUCACACUAUAGUGUCCAUCUGUAGACGAACUAUUCAAACUUUGUGUAAUGUACUCUUCUUUAUAACGAUGGAAUCAAUUAAAUAGAAGCUUGC